rnacentral:rRNA from 1 species
AUUGAACGCUGGCGGCAGGCCUAACACAUGCAAGUCGAGCGGAUGAAUUGAUCUUGCUCCUGGAUUUAGCGGCGGACGGGGGAGUAAUGCCUAUGAAUCUGCCUGGUAGUGGGGGAGAACGGCCGGAAACGGGCGCUAAUACCGCAUACGACCUGAGGGAGGAAGUGGCUGAUCUUGGGACAUCAGGCUAGCAUAGCAGCUUAGGUCGGGUUAGCUAGUUGGUGGGGUGAGGGCCUACCAAGGCGACGAGCCGUAACUUGUGUGAGAGGAUGAUGAGUCACCCUGGAACUGAGACACGGUUCCGAGCCCUACGGGUGGCAGCAGCGGGGAAUAGUAGACGAUGACCGAAGGCGUAAUCCAGCCCUACCGAGUGCGUGAAGAAGGAGAACGGAUUGUGGAGCGUUUUAAGUUGUGAGGAGGGGAAGUAAGUUACUAGCUUGCUGUAUUGACGUUACCAGGAGAAUAAGCACCGGCUAACUUCGUG